AGCAGCAUGGCUCAGUGGAAAGAGCCUGGGCUGGGGAGUCAGAGGUCACGGGUUCGAAUCCUGGCUCUGCCA
rfam:Ornithorhynchus anatinus chromosome 3, whole genome shotgun sequence.